rnacentral:rRNA from 1 species
GACGAACGCUGGCGGCGUGCUUAACACAUGCAAGUCGAACGGGCCCGCCCCUGUUUUUGGGGGUGGGUUGAGUGGCGAACGGGUGAGUAUCACGUGAGUAACCUGCCCCCUGCUCCUGGAUAACUGCUUGAAAGGGCGGCUAAUACGGGGUGUGCCGGCUGGUCCGCAUGGGCCUGGUCGGGAUAGUUUCAUCUUCGGGUGUUUCGGUGGGGGAUGGGCUCGCGGCCUAUCAGCUUGUUGGUGGGGUGAUGGCCCACCAAGGCGGUGACGGGUAGCCGGCCUGAGAGGGUGGGCGGCCACACUGGGACUGAGGCACGGCCCAGACUCCUGCGGGAGGCAGCAGUGGGGGGUAUUGCACAAUGGGCGGAAGCCUGAUGCAGCGACGUCGCGUGAGGGAUGGAGGCCUUCGGGUUGUGAACCUCUUUCUCCGGUGGUGAAGGCCCUGUCCGUUGCGGCGGGGUUGACGGUAGCCGGGUAUGAAGCGCCGGCUAACUACGUG